GGAGAGGUGCUGGAGCGGCCGAACAGGCGCGCCUGGAAAGCGCGUGCCCUGGUAACGGGGCCGUGGGUUCAAAUCCCACCCUCUCCGCCA
rnacentral:tRNA from 1 species